rnacentral:rRNA from 1 species
UGGGGAAUAUUGCACAAUGGGCGCAAGCCUGAUGCAGCCAUGCCGCGUGUAUGAAGAAGGCCUUCGGGUUGUAAAGUACUUUCAGCGGGGAGGAAGGGAGUAAAGUUAAUACCUUUGCUCAUUGACGUUACCCGCAGAAGAAGCACCGGCUAACUCCGUGCCAGCAGCCGCGGUAAUACGGAGGGUGCAAGCGUUAAUCGGAAUUACUGGGCGUAAAGCGCACGCAGGCGGUUUGUUAAGUCAGAUGUGAAAUCCCCGGGCUCAACCUGGUAACUGCAUCUGAUACUGGCAAGCUUGAGUCACGUAGAGGGGGGUAGAAUUCCAGGUGUAGCGGUGAAAUGCGUAGAGAUCUGGAGGAAUACCGGUGGCGAAGGCGGCCCCCUGGACGAAGACUGACGCUCAGGUGCGAAAGCGUGGGGAGCAAACAGG